rnacentral:rRNA from 1 species
AGCAGCCGCGGUAAUUCCAGCUCCAAUAGCGUAUAUUAAAGUUGUUGCAGUUAAAAAGCUCGUAGUUGAAUUUCGGGAUCAAUAUAUCGGUCGUGCCUCGGUACGUACUGGUAUCAUUGGUUUCUCCUUUCUGACGAACCAUGAUGUCAUUAAUUUGGUGUUAUGGGAAGUUAGGACUGUUACUUUGAAAAAAUUAGAGUGUUUAAAGCAGGCUUUGGCUUGAAUACAUUAGCAUGGAAUAAUGAAAUAGGACGUUCGAACCUAUUUUGUUGGUUUCUAGGAUCAACGUAAUGAUUAAUAGGGAUAGUUGGGGGCAUUAGUAUUCAAUUGUCAGAGGUGAAAUUCUUGGAUUUAUUGAAGACUAACUACUGCGAAAGCAUUUGCCAAGGAUGUUUUCAUUAAUCAAGAACGAAAGUUAGGGGAUCGAAGACGAUCAGAUACCGUCGUAGUCUUAACCAUAAACUAUGCCGACUAGGGAUCGGAUGAUGUUAAUUUUUUAAUGACUCA